AUCAUUACAUGAUGGAUCAAAUCAAAUCACCACCUUUUGGCUGAGCUACUAACGUAUUUUUUUUCUGAUAAAAAAU